rnacentral:rRNA from 1 species
UACGUAGGGUGCAAGCGUUGUCCGGAAUUAUUGGGCGUAAAGAGCUCGUAGGCGGUCUGUCGCGUCGGCUGUGAAAACCCGGAGCUCAACUCCGGGCCUGCAGUCGAUACGGGCAAACUGGAGUGUUGCAGGGGAGACUGGAAUUCCUGGUGUAGCGGUGAAAUGCGCAGAUAUCAGGAGGAACACCGGUGGCGAAGGCGGGUCUCUGGGCAACAACUGACGCUGAGGAGCGAAAGCGUGGGGAGCAAACAGG